AAGCCGCGAACGGGGGAGUAACACGUGAGUAACCUGCCCUUGACUUUGGGAUAACUUCAGGAAACUGGGGCUAAUACCGGAUAGGAGCUCCUGCUGCAUGGUGGGGGUUGGAAAGUUUCGGCGGUUGGGGAUGGACUCGCGGCUUAUCAGCUUGUUGGUGGGGUAGUGGCUUACCAAGGCUUUGACGGGUAGCCGGCCUGAGAGGG
rnacentral:rRNA from 1 species